rnacentral:lncRNA from 1 species
AUGACUACAGGCCCCAUGUUCGGCGCAGGGCUCCUGGUGCUCGGUUGCCUGCUGCAGAGGAGCGUGGUGACCACAGAGGGGCAUCGUGGGACCGACCGCCAUGUUUUCUAUGCAGUUCGUAUGGACGGAGGCAUCAGAGCUGCCAGGACUGUAGCCGUGCGGCAUGGACUGGAUUUCAUGCAGCGGGUUGGAGGCCUGAAGGGCAUAUACAACCUGAGAGACAGCAGGGGGCGCUCUGACCGAGCCACUUUUGAGCAGAGGCUCUCGACUCUACCAGGGGUAAGUAUUCUCAACUGUGCCACUAAAUAAUCUCUCCGCUGAAUAAAAGAUCUGCCCAGACAGUGAGGUCUGUAGAG